UGUGACUGCGUACCUUUUGUAUAAUGGGUCAGCGACUUAUAUUCUGUAGCAAGGUUAACCGAAUAGGGGAGCCGGAGGGAAACCGAGUCUUAACCGGGCGUUAAGUUGCAGGGUAUAGACCCGAAACCCGGUGAUCUAGCCAUGGGCAGGUUGAAGGUUGGGUAACACUAACUGGAGGACCGAACCGACUAAUGUUGAAAAAUUAGCGGAUGACCUGUGGCUGGGGGUGAAAGGCCAAUCAAACCGGGAGAUAGCUGGUUCUCCCCGAAAGCUAUUUAGGUAGCGCCUCGUGAAUUCAUCUCCGGGGGUAGAGCACUGUUUCGGCUAGGGGGCCAUCCCGGCUUACCAACCCGAUGCAAACUGCGAAUACCGGAGAAUGUUAUCACGGGAGACACACGGCGGGUGCUAACGUCCGUCGUGAAGAGGGAAACAACCCAGACCGCCAGCUAAGGUCCCAAAGUCAUGGUUAAGUGGGAAACGAUGUGGGAAGGCCCAGACAGCCAGGAUGUUGGCUUAGAAGCAGCCAUCAUUUAAAGAAAGCGUAAUAGCUCACUGGUCGAGUCGGCCUGCGCGGAAGAUGUAACGGGGCUAAACCAUGCACCGAAGCUGCGGCAGCGACGCUGAUGCGUUGUUGGGUAGGGGAGCGUUCUGUAAGCCUGCGAAGGUGGCCUGUGAGGGUUGCUGGAGGUAUCAGAAGUGCGAAUGCUGACAUAAGUAACGAUAAAGCGGGUGAAAAGCCCGCUCGCCGGAAGACCAAGGGUUCCUGUCCAACGUUAAUCGGGGCAGGGUGAGUCGACCCCUAAGGCGAGGCCGAAAGGCGUAGUCGAUGGGAAACGGGUUAAUAUUCCCGUACUUGGUGUUACUGCGAAGGGGGGACGGAGAAGGCUAUGUUGGCCGGGCGACGGUUGUCCCGGUUUAAGCGUGUAGGUGUGUGUUCCAGGUAAAUCCGGUUCACUUUAACACUGAGGCGUGAUGACGAGGCACUACGGUGCUGAAGCAACAAAUGCCCUGCUUCCAGGAAAAGCCUCUAAGCAUCAGGUAACAUCAAAUCGUACCCCAAACCGACACAGGUGGUCAGGUAGAGAAUACCAAGGCGCUUGAGAGAACUCGGGUGAAGGAACUAGGCAAAAUGGUGCCGUAACUUCGGGAGAAGGCACGCUGACACGUAGGUGAAGUGAUUUACUCAUGGAGCUGAAGUCAGUCGAAGAUACCAGCUGGCUGCAACUGUUUAUUAAAAACACAGCACUGUGCAAACACGAAAGUGGACGUAUACGGUGUGACGCCUGCCCGGUGCCGGAAGGUUAAUUGAUGGGGUCAGCGCAAGCGAAGCUCCUGAUCGAAGCCCCGGUAAACGGCGGCCGUAACUAUAACGGUCCUAAGGUAGCGAAAUUCCUUGUCGGGUAAGUUCCGACCUGCACGAAUGGCGUAAUGAUGGCCAGGCUGUCUCCACCCGAGACUCAGUGAAAUUGAACUCGCUGUGAAGAUGCAGUGUACCCGCGGCAAGACGGAAAGACCCCGUGAACCUUUACUAUAGCUUGACACUGAACAUUGAGCCUUGAUGUGUAGGAUAGGUGGGAGGCUUUGAAGUGUGGACGCCAGUCUGCAUGGAGCCGGCCUUGAAAUACCACCCUUUAAUGUUUGAUGUUCUAACGUGGACCCGUGAUCCGGGUUGCGGACAGUGUCUGGUGGGUAGUUUGACUGGGGCGGUCUCCUCCUAAAGAGUAACGGAGGAGCACGAAGGUUGGCUAAUCCUGGUCGGACAUCAGGAGGUUAGUGCAAUGGCAUAAGCCAGCUUGACUGCGAGCGUGACGGCGCGAGCAGGUGCGAAAGCAGGUCAUAGUGAUCCGGUGGUUCUGAAUGGAAGGGCCAUCGCUCAACGGAUAAAAGGUACUCCGGGGAUAACAGGCUGAUACCGCCCAAGAGUUCAUAUCGACGGCGGUGUUUGGCACCUCGAUGUCGGCUCAUCACAUCCUGGGGCUGAAGUAGGUCCCAAGGGUAUGGCUGUUCGCCAUUUAAAGUGGUACGCGAGCUGGGUUUAGAACGUCGUGAGACAGUUCGGUCCCUAUCUGCCGUGGGCGCUGGAGAACUGAGGGGGGCUGCUCCUAGUACGAGAGGACCGGAGUGGACGCAUCACUGGUGUUCGGGUUGUCAUGCCAAUGGCACUGCCCGGUAGCUAAAUGCGGAAGAGAUAAGUGCUGAAAGCAUCUAAGCACGAAACUUGCCCCGAGAUGAGUUCUCCCUGAGACUUAGAGUCUCCUGAAGGAACGUUGAAGACGACGACGUUGAUAGGCCGGGUGUGUAAGCGCAGCGAUGCGUUGAGCUAACCGGUACUAAUGAACCGUGAGGCUUAACCUU
rnacentral:rRNA from 1 species